GUCUGUUAUGUGGAUUUCAGUCUUUAUUUUGCUUGAAAUGGUCUUUAAAGGAUUAUUAUGGUGUAUCAAAUGCAAAAUUGAUUUAUUGUUUUUAAUUGAUUGUUUUUUACCUGCUGUAAGCUAUCUAUUCUAAAAAGCCCAUAUUACCUUGAAUGUCAUUCUGCUACAGCAUUCUCAUGGAGCCAGAACUAACAUCUCUGGUGGAAGCAUGGAGGAGGCAGUCAUAACUUAGUACAUUCUUUAACCUAGAAACUGAAAAAAAAAAAAAAAAAAAAAAAAAAAAGGAAUAGUAGUAAUCAGAGUUUCAAGAAUGUAGCUACUUUGAGUGCAAAUAAAUUCUGAAUCAUAGGAAGUUCUCUUUGCUUUCUUGUUUGGUUUGUUACUUUUGUUAGCAUGCAUUCCCAAGCACUGGGCUUUACUCCAGUACCUCUUCCACCUUCCGCCUCCCUGCUUGUCCUCUUUCCUUUCCUCAUACUACAAUCCACAUGACUGAAACCAUGAGGUACUUGUCUGUGAGUCUGUUUUAUGUCAUUUAACAUGAUCUCAGCUGUCCAUUGUCCUAUAGAUGUCAUAAUGUGACUCUUUCUGAGUGAAUUAAACUUUAUAGUGUGUGUGUGUGUGUGUGUCUGUCUGUGUGUGUGUGUGUGUGUGAGAGAGAGAGAGAGAGAGAACACACAACAGAGACAGUCUUUGACUUUAUCCUCUCAUCUGUUCUGUUGAUAGGCAGGCACCUGGACUGAUUCUUUAACUUGGCUGUUGUGAAUAAUGUGAUGCAACCGUCUAGUUUAUUUGGCUUUAUAUCUGAAAGGGGUUCAGCUAGGUCAUAUAGAAAAAUCUGUUUUAAACUUCUUGAGGUCUUGAGGAAUUUGUGCUGAUUUCCAUAGUGAUUGAUAGGGUUGGUUUGUUUGUAUAGAAUUGGUGUGUUGGCUUUUUUUUUUUUUUUUUUACUUUUUUUGGGUAACUAUUUAUUGCACAUUCCUUUGAGUGUGAACUUUGUAAAUUUGUAGAUGACAUCAUGUUGCAGUGUCAAAGGUUGAAUACCCUGGAUUUCUCUGUCCCCUGAAUCGUGGCCACUUGUUUCUCUUCUCUUCUCUUCUCUUCUCUUCUCUUCUCUUCUCUUCUCUUCUCUUCUCUUCUCUUCUCUUCUCUUCUCUUCUCUUCUCUUCUCUUCUCUUCUCUUCUCUUUUUUCCCUCUCUUUGUUGUUGUUAGUAUGGGGUAAGGUCUCACUAUGUAGGACAUGCUGGCCUGGCUUCUGUCUCCUCAGUGCUGGGAUUAAAGGUGUACCCUACUACUCUGCCCUGCUCUUGUUAUCUUCUUGAUGGUAGGUAGCCAUUAAUGGUAAAAUGGAAUCUCAUUAUAACUGUUAAUUUGAUAGGAAGUUCCAUUUGUUAUUUUAGUUUUUUCCUAACAAGUUGGCAUCCUUAACUUCAUUUUGAAAACUCAACUAAUUAUUAUUAAUAUUAAUUAUCUUCAAAUAACACCAUGAUGUCCUCCUCUCUUUCAGGAGCUUUAAGGAUUUUUAUAUGGAAUACCAGUCCUGUGACUUUUUAAAAAUUCAACAUUCCAUUCUAUCUGCAGUGACACCCACAGUCAUAUAUAAACAGGGACAUUAAUGAAAACGUCUAAAGUAAAAGCUCUUAUGAUCGCUCAGAUGUACACUUUGUAUUACACAUUUAUUUCAUGAACUAGACACCUCAUCAGAGACCCAGGACAUUGACUUAAAGUUAUAAAAAUGAUCAUAUUUAAAUAGAGCAUAUCCUUUUUAAUUGAAAGUAGUUGCUUCUAAAGUAGUUGAAAGUGCUGCUUUAAAAAAAAAUGAGUUUGUAACUGUUUUAAAUAUUCUUGUUACUACUGUUUGUUCCUCCUGAAAGAAAUGCCUAUACCAAACCCUGAGUUCAGGGGCAUCUUUUGCUGACACAGCUCAUGACCCAGCCAUGUGUGGUGGGGAUAUUGUGUGUAUGAGCAAAGCACUGCCAACUUAAAACUCAGAUCUUGUGCUAAGAUGCUAUAUUUGGGGUCCAGGCCUUAGAACUGUUAUAGCCCACACAUAGCAUUAGAAUUCUCUGAGACUCGUGAAUUUAAAUGACCAGGAUGUUCUGUUUGUAGUAGCAAUUUCAAGCACUGAGAUGGCUCAAUCUGUAAAACCCUUGCUGUGUAAGUGGGGAUCUGAGUUCAAAUCCCAAGAGCGCAUGUAAGGUUGUGUCCUAGUUCUCCUAGGUGAGAGAGGUAGAGACUAGCAAGUUCCCAGAAGCUUGCUGGCCAUCCAGCCUGCCUACACAUGGCAAAACAACAAAAGACCCAUCUCAAACUGGAGGACCGACCCCAGUCCUUCCCAACAGUUCAUUAUUUGGGGAUAAAGUAUUCAAAUAUGUGAGUUUAUGGGAGCGUUCUGAUUCAGACCACCACAGAACAUAAAUAAGAAUUUUAUUAAUGUGUUAUUUGUACAACGUGGGGUUCUAUAGCGACAUUUUUGUUGAAACAUAUGUUUGUCCAUAUUCGUACAUCCAUUAUCCUUUUCUGUCACAGUUCUUCUUGUCCCUUUCCUCUUCCCAAAUGGUCUCCCUUCUACUUAGAUGUAUAUAUUAUCACUCUAGGUUCUACAUGUAAAAGAUAGCAUAAGAUGUUUUUCUUUAUGAGAUCGAUUUAACGUGUGAUCUUCAAUUUAUUCAGCUUUCUGCAGAUGAAUCAUUUCAUCUGAUGAAAUGGUCAGGGUAGUCUGGUGGAAGGCGUAGUGAUAAGCUUUUCUGCUCACUCAGAACCAAAAUAGACAAAAUAGGAAAUUUGAAAAUAGUCAGUUCCAGGACUGGGGGAGAUGGAGUGGUUAAGAGCACUGGCUGCUCUCCCAGAGGACCUGGGUUUAAUGUCCAGCACCCACAUGGCAGGGAACCCACAUUCCAGUUCCAGGGAAUCUGACACUCUUACAUAGACAUAUAUUAGGCAAAACAGCAAUGCACAUAAAAUAAACGUUUUUGUAAU
rnacentral:lncRNA from 1 species